UUUUUUUUUUUUUUUUUUUUUUUUCUGCUUCUCACCUUCUCUGAGAUGUCAGUGCUAUAACUUAAUGAAAGUUCUAGCACUUCCUCACACUUCCUUCAGCCACUCUGAUAUGAAAAAAAUCUCAUUCCAGGGUUGCUCAGAAGUAUUGUCAAUGAGGAAAAUGACAUAUAACAUUAUUCAGUUAAAAUCUGAAAAACAUUUUGUUCCUUAGGACUACCUUCUAAGAGCAGGAAAUCCUCCUUGUCAAACAAUUGGUUUACAUCAAUUAAAUAAUGAUGAAUACUUCUAGCUAGGAAGCACCUGUUGUAAGGUGUAUCCAGUAAUGCAAAAAACCCACAAUAAGACUGUGAGGAGCAAAUGUGAGGCUGACUAGACUGAUUAAAUUGAAAUAGUACUUGCAGGUACUCCAACUCUCCAUGCCUUGAGUAUGCACACUCAAAAUUCAAUAAAUCCUUGAACCUUAGUAAUUUCUUUGAUCUGACUGUCUCAUAUCAUAAGGAAAGCAAUCAGUUACACUGGAGGAUUUAGAUACUGACACAACUGCACCAAAGAGUGGCUUGCACUUACUGUAGACUAGAAAGCCUGUGGUUACAAUGAUACAUUGUCACUUUUUUUUUCCCCCCAAAAUUGCAAAGUUAAACCUUCCUGGCCACAGAUGGGGGGAAAAACAAACAAAUAACAACAACAAAAAAUCAAAACCAAAACUGGUUUACACUAAGAGUUAUAGCUGUUUGUUUAACCCUGCUAGGACUUGUCUUCAUCCUUCUUCCCACAGAUGUGCAUAUCUCAAACAGCAUGCUUUUGAUUUUUUGGUUAGUGUAAUAUACAAACUUUAGGAAAGAUGAUCAGAUCCAUUCAUGUACCAACAUAAUAUUUAUUUCCUCUGGUUUACAACUGAAACUAUGAAGUAUUCUACUGUCUUUGGGAAUAGUUCAUGGAUCAUCCAGUGGCCUGCAGGUCAUUAAAUGUUUUGCAACAUUUUAUAGUGAAAAUUAUCUGAGUUCAUAUAUAGUAAGCCUUGAAAUUAGUUGUCGGUGUUUAUCAGACUUUUAGUUAUAAACAUAAUUAGCUCUUGAUCCAAAAUCUAGGAUGGUCCCUGGAUAUGUCUGACUUUCACAGUCUUUUCCUAGUGAGGGUGAGUCAGCCACUUGGCAGUGCAUGCAGCUGGUGUGAUGGUAGAGCUGUAUCCCUAGCAUACACGGCAAUCAAAUAUUUCCUUCUCUCUGCUUCAUUGAAGGAUGGUAAAGAAAGAAACAGAUAUUAAAUGAAAAAGUGAAGGCAAGACAGACAGGAAAAAAGAAGGACAGAAAGCUAUUGUCCAAAAAAGAAGACAAUGUGUUCCAAUUGCUGGCUUGGGUUUUUGCAGACUGAAGUCUAUUUCUGUACUUACUGAAGAGAAAUCUUUGGGAACCUCUGAAUCUCUGAAAAGCUUUCUCUUUGCUUAAUCCAAAAUCAGAAUUUGUUUCAUGAUGACAAUUAGGAUGGAAUGGAUUGAAUUCCCCUCUCAGUUAUCAUGACAAGGAUCCUCAAAUAAAGUGAAUGCUUCUAAGAUAUGCCAGCUUCCAACCUGAGGAUUGUUCGGUCUGGGGCUGCGUGAUGCUGUGAAGGCUCCGAGUCCGAAAGAUUUCCGUUUACUGUGGCUGUUGGACAGAACUGUAAAUGAGUAAAUACAAAAACUGGAGAAUGGAUGGAGGAGAAAAUAUUAUCACUUAAGGAAAUUUGUGACAGAUGGCAACAGAGGGACAGUCUGACAGAAUGGCAUCUGACAUGAAGAUAACAAAGCUACAUUCCUAAGGCAAGACCAGUUAAUGCUGCAAGGUACAGUGUGGAGCACCAUGUAUGCAGUUUCAAAGAGAAGUCAUAUUUGUGUGAUCGUAUGGGUGAGAAGAAGAGGUGAAUAAUAUGUAAAAAAUGAGACAGGAGUAUAAGAGCAAGCAUUUUAUAUGCCUGAAUUCUGCAAACCAGUUUUCUUCAGUGGCCCCUGUAUAACUCAUCUACUUGGAAAUGAAGAUCUAUAGUUGUGAUGUAUAUGCUCAGAAAAAUUAAUGCAGAACAAAAUUCUCCUACUGGAAUAUGUUUACUUCAGAAAUUUUGAGUUCCAUUGUGACAGAGGAUUGCUUAUUCCCUAAUACAAGCAUCAUCCCCUGCAGAGAGCUUUCCCUUUUGAACUUGUGUGAAUUGACUGAAGCUUUGUUCCAAGUCUCUCUGGAGUACUGACAUUCAGGUUGCUGACAGAAGAACCCUGAAGAUAGCUCAAGGGGAUUUCUGUAUCCUUUCAGCUGCCACUAUGAUCAGGUUUUUAAAGUUUUCCUUGAAGAUGAGUUCUAAUUGAGAGCUAAACAAUUCUGAAAGCUUUUCUGUGGAAGACAGAGUUAAAGCAAACAACUGAAAAAAAAGAAACAAAGAAUGAAAGAAACUCUUAAGAACUAGUAACCCAUCUGGAGGACAAAAGGUAUAAUAACUACAAUCAAACAAUCAAGUUUACACUGGAAAAAUAACAUGGAGUUUUAUUGAAAAAUACUGUAAGUUAUUUCAUGCAGAUGGUCUUCCUGGUUUUUACACAGAAGGAAGAUGAGACAAAUAUGCCGUUGGAAAAGGCUGAAGGAAAGAGAUGCCAAGUGUCAGUAAAGAAAGAGCUUUGGUGCAUGAGACAGCAGCAGGAAAGCUAGUGCAUCUUCAAUAAUUAACUUGGUUGCCUAAUUAGCAAAAAUCUCCCACAAGACUGCUACUAAUACUUUGUAUUAUAGUAUCUUAAGAGUCUAGGAUCACCAUACUGUAACAAGAAUUACAAGUGAAAUUACAUGUCUCUCAUGAAAACAUAGAUGUUUUUUCUGUCUUGAUGGCUCUGCAGCUGGUUCAGAAAUUGUUUGUCUGCAAUGGCACUUUUGUUUUCCAUCUGAAAGAAGCAGACCACAAGUGUUCUGAUAUAUCUAUACAAUGGAAUGGAAAUAUUCUGAAGUCUGUGAAACUGAACUCAGCAGUGAUUUUGUCCUUGCAUUUCCUUAUAACUGGAUCCUCGUUCAUUAAGUGUAAGACUUUUUCUGCAGCACAGGAUAAAGCAGAGGAGGAGCAAAAUUCAUCAAAAAUCUCUGAUGAACACCUUGAGAACUCACUAUGAAGUGCAACCACUCCCAUCAUACCAGACUGAUAUGUACAAGAUGCAAGCAAUGUCAGAGGCUGCUUCAUUUCUAUGCCUAGUGUGGAUGUAUGGAUCACCAAGAUAGGCUUUAUAUUUGUACUUAUACAAGAAAACAGUCUAGUUUCACAUUGGUGCUGACAGCCUUGUAUCUAUACCAGUCCACAAGUGCCAUUUUCUAUCUCCACCAAAACAGCGUCAUCACAACAGUAGAAUAUGCUUGCAUCAAGAAGGAGUUCUUACUUACUGGAGGACCAGGUGGGCCAGGUAAACCACUGUCACCCUUUUGGCCAGCAGGACCCUAUAAAGUAAUGAAAGAAAUGUGUUAUUGACCAUACUACUUUAUAUUAAAAAAUAAUGUACACACAGAAAUGAAGCACAAAACCAGAAAAUAUGGAGAAUUACUCACACUGGAUCCUUUGGAACCUUUUGGACCUUGGGGACCCUAUGGACAAGAGUAUAAGCAUGUAGUUGGAAUAUAUUCCACAAAACAUGGGAGUGUUUAGAACAGGAGAACUGGGUGAAAUUACUUACAGGUAAACCAGGAGGACCAGGGGGUCCGAGUGGACCAGCAGGACCAGAAAUUCCCUAAGAAAGAAUAAGGACAGAAUUAAAGUAUUUUUUGUACUGGACUGAGUUAAGAAAUGUAGAUCUAUUGAGAAUGGUAGUCCUACUAAGUGCCCACCCCUGAAACUAAAGUUUCCCUUUAGUCCAUUUGCUAGGGUCCAAAAUAAUUUUUAAAUUUAAAAUACAAUCUGACAGUUUUAGUGUCUCUCAUGCUCCAGCAUUUAUAGUCACAACACUGUUCUCCUUCAGAUAAACGUUAAAGCUUCAUAUUUUACAGAGAGUUUUAAAACAUAGCUUAAUAACCAGGAAAAGAGAGUUUGCUUUGGGUAGUAUGUAACAAGACUGGCGCUGGUAGUUAUCUGAUACCUAACAGAGGUAUACUGUUUCCUUCAUCAACAAUCUGUGUCCUGGUUUUACCUUGUGUUUAUACAAUGCCUAUGAAAGCUUUAAACUCCAGCUGGAGAUUCUGAGUAUCAAUGUUUAUAGUAACUUCAUGUGUCUCCUGCAAGAAAGACAUACAUGAAACUUGAAUGAAAGCAAAAGAGUGUUUUACUUACUGCAUCACCUUUGGCUCCAGGAGACCCCUGUGGACCAGGAAGACCCCUAUCACCCUUUUCACCUUGUUCUCCUGGAGGUCCAAUCAGGCCAAUCAAACCAGGAUGUCCCUAAAAAAGACUUAUGUACAAGGCCAAAAUUACAGAGGCUCAAACAAGGAAUAAAGAUGUUUUCAUAUACCUUCUCUCCUUUGGAUCCUGGAUCUCCUUUCAGACCAGGCAAGCCAGGUGGGCCCUAAAUAAAUAAAAAGAAGUAAUGUAAAAGUAAGUUGUGACAUACUGUACAAAUCAAGUUUUCCUGAAAUAUUUUAAAGGUAGUGUAACUACAGGGUCAUUCAGUGGAUGAUGGUUGUGAUUCAGAGCCCAAGAUAACAUUGGCAUGGAUCUUUAGAAUGCCGUAAUGAUGUUAUUGUAGCAUUUAAAUUACUUUAUAAUUAGAAAUCUAUAAAGACUGUAAUUAUUAGAAAUUUAUGAAGAAGGAAAGAAUUACUAAAUUCAUAAACAGUACCGAAAGCAUCCAGGAAAUUACGUGAUAGACAAAGCAAUUUUCAAUUGAAUUUUUGUUGAUUAGCCUAAUUUUGAGUGUGGUUACAUUUUUAUUUUAUUAGUACUUCCACCAUAACUGCUGUACCUAUCCUGUUGUAAGACAGUAGUAUGUACUUCUGCAGCCCUUUAUUUCAUAAGACAGUGGAAACAACCCCUUAUUUUUUUUUUCUUCCAGGUUAUUACAAAUCAGUAAAUGACAUUGCUGAUUGUAACAGCUCCUCAAUAUUGCUUUGUUGAAGAACUACCUCAUGCUUAGGUUCUGUACUCCAGAUAUUGUCUUGGGAUUACAAUUUCCUUGAUUUACAACCUGAAAUUCCUGCAUGACAAUGAAUAAUGCAGUUAAAUUUUCUAUUUUUUCUACUUAUAUUCUAUUUAUAGAAUAUUCAAGUUCUUUCUACUCAACAUUGCAAGCUUAAUGUCAUCGAGGUAUGAUAGAUCCAAUAGUACAUACAAACCCAUGGUUCACCAAUACUGUAGUAAAUAUGGUAACAUUCGCACACACGCAUACACAAAAGUGAGCUCCAAAAGUAAUGCCUCCUAUUUUAUUACACUGGCCUACAAUAUCAGAGACAGAUAGAUGUUGGUGGUAUGGCAGUACAGGUUGAACCUUCCCACCAAUUUUCAAUUACAUUUUGUUGCUGUGUGGCAGCAGAGCAGCAGUCUGACAAAAUGGCGUCUGGAAGCGUGUAUGAAGCACAAGUGUGUCCUUUGCUCCAUGAGGAAAAAAUUGCACUCACUGACAUGCAUCAACAUGUGGACAUCAGAGUGGAUGGUAUCACAGUAAGGUGGUGGACCAGGUGGGCCAGCUUCUCCUGAAGGACCUGGUGGACCCUGCAAUGGAAAGCAAUAGGUUCAGUGGUAACAAUAUAUACAAUCAUUUUCUUUCUUAACUGCAAUGAACAUCUGCAAUAUCUCCUUCAAUGGACAGAAAGUAAUUAUCAUACAGAAGCGAUACUUGCUUACUCAGCAAGUCCUUUCUUAGAGUCAUCUUUUGCAGUUUUUAACAGGUUUUUACAAAAUGUAACUACUCUUUUUUUCUUGUUUAAAACAAAACAUUUCAUUUCUGGAAGUGGCUGCACAGAAGUAAUGUACAAUCUACUGACUAACUUGAUUAAGAGUAUUUCUUGCUUUCUUGGGUGCUGAAGUUGUUAUUUUCCUUCAAUUUUUCCUAGUAAGUUAGCUGCCCAGUAAGUCACCUUCUAUUGAAAAUAUUCUACACUGACAGCCAUUUGGCUCCCCCAUACAGGUAUGCUGUGAUUCUCUUUUAAAGACUUCAGGUCUACUGAACAGUUUGAUAAGUUUUUCUUCAUGAGCACAACACUCUAAAGGUACUUACUGUGAAGUUAGAUAUACAGAUGUUCAUCCUGAACUUUUCAAUUUAAACUCUGGUUUAUAACUUAGUUCCAACCAUAUGUUGAAUUACUAGUAUUUUUUCUUUCACAUUGUACUGUAUAAAAUAUUUCCUUGAUACUCAGAAAUUCCAGAGCUGUAAAGAGACCUUCCAAAAAGGAAGCCCUAGCUUUCUGCAGUAAAAGAUUAUAUUCAUGAUGCUUUAACAUAGAAAUCUCCAGAAAGUUAAGAGCAUUGAAUAAUACUGCUUAGGUAACUCUUAGACUUCACAUGAAAUACAGUAGAAAUUCCAAGAUUUAGAUUCACUUCAUAAAGAGCUAAUGAAGACUAUUUGGCUUCAGCGUUACUUUUUUAUACUAAGGACUGCUAUCGUUUUAAUGCACCUCAGCAGCUCUGGCACAAAUCUUUAAUGAACUGUUUAUUUCUCCUUCUAAAAGAAAUGACCUCUUGCCUUUGAUUGUACCUAUUAUAUAGGUAAUUCUAUUUCUACAAGGAAAUAAAGAGAUUUUUCAGUACAAUACAAAGAGAAUCUGUUUAGAAAAUAUUUGUUAGAGUACGAAUUUAUAGAAAACACUGAUUCAGCAAAAAGUAUUUUCUCAGCACAGGAGAAAACAUGUAGCCAAAACAAAAUGACAGAAACAACUCACAGGUUGACCAGGAUCACCAUCUUCACCCUUUUCUCCACCAACACCAUCUUGACCCUACAGAAAUCAUGUCAAAAUAAACAAAAGAUACAAACUCAGAUAAAUUCAGUGACUUAGUUUCAUAUAUGAAUAUAAGAACACUAGUUUUCUGCAGCGAAUUUUUCUACAGACACUCAUUUUCAAAACUUUUUAAAGAUUUCUGUUUUUUUUUAGGUAGGAUUUAAGAAAUAUAUGGAAAGCUGAAGCAAUAAAUCUGAAAGGAAGACCUCCUUUCCAAACCAAGAAGAGAUGGGGGUAACUGCAGUUGAAUGCAAACCAAGUCCAGGACCUAAAACUGCUUUUCAAAUAUACUUACAGCUGGACCAGGCUCUCCAGGGGGACCAGGAUCUCCAGGAAAACCAACCGGACCCUAGGUAAAUCAGGAAAAAAACACGGAAGAUGUCAUCUACAGAGAAGCAGGUCUUUCUUGGAAGGGAUGCAGAGGCCAAAGCAUACUGACAUUAUAGGAAAAGUACUGGGAAUAACACUUAUGCGGGAAGAGGAAGAAAAGAACUCAUUAAAUGGAACUGGAAUUAAAAAGGAAGAUGCCCUAACUAGGAAGAGAUAUCAGUCACAUGCUAAAAUUUGAGAAGGAGGAAAGUAAUUAGAAGAAAUAAGAUCUCCAAAAUAAUAUACUGCUAUGCCAGGAGCACCAACAGGACCCUGGAGACCUGGUGGACCUGGAGGACCCUGCAACAAGCAUUCAAAAGGAAAAUUUCAGAAAGGAAACUGAAGAUAUUUCAAGCUCCUCUUGAACAGGAAAGAGGGAGCAAUUUUUCCUUGCUCAGUGUCCUCGCUGUGAUGAGACUAAAUAACCAUGGAGGAUUUUAUGGGUGUGCAGUUUCAAGCGUGAAGGCCCAAAGGAGGCAAUUCUGUAUCAAUCAAUAGUAUAUCAUUUUAAUCCAGCUAUUGACUGUUAAACUGCAAAGGCUCCAAAGACCUGGCUUUGAAGAGAACCACUUGGACCAGCAGGACCAGGAAGUCCUACAGGACCUUGUACUCCAUCACGUCCAGCUGGACCUUGAGGACCUUUUUCACCCUGGUUUUCAGGAAAAGGAAGUGAUCCACAUUAUCACAGGAGUUUAAUAAAGCUUUCAGAGCAGGAGCACCCUUCUCCCCUGCAGGGCCUGGAGGACCCUGAGGUCCAGGACGACCUGGUAGACCAAUUGGACCAGCAGUGCCUGCUGCUCCACGUUCCCCUGCACCUGGGAGGCCUUGUUCACCUGGUGGGCCAGGAGGACCUGGAUGACCUCUUUCACCAAUUGGGCCAGUCUCACCAGUAGGACCCUAAGCACAAAGACACGUCUGAACAGCUUCCACAGAUUGAAAUCUUGACCUUGCUCCUUAGGCAAUGAAGCUUAAAACACAGCGCAUUUCCACACAUGGGAGGAGGUUACAAAAAGUAUAUGUAAGGGAAAUUCAUGUACUGUGCUUGUCUCGAAACACUGUCUGUACUGUUUUUCUGUAUAACAUGAAUUGUAAGGUGAGAGAGUUGAAAGAUACUUCUUUAGACGCACUAGUAGAAAACUUUCACUAAAGGAAUUAUCUAUAAAAAGCCCAUGCAAUCCAAAUGUCUGAUUUUUCUGCAAAUAUGUAGUAGCAGAUAAAAUUGAACUUUGAUGGUAAAACAUUCCACAAUCUAGAAGUGAUCAAAAUUUAGUCUCUGACAAGAAUGUCAUAUAAUAUAUUGUUCUUUAUAAAUUAUUUUGCAUUAGAAAUCUCACUUUACAUUCUUGACUUCUGCUUCAUGACCAUACGAAGAAAACACACACUAAAAAUAAAAGUGGCAAAAUAAUCUCAACAUUUACACAUUUCAUGGAACUAUUGGUAAGUAUUAAGUAUAACUUUCUGUUAUGAAUAAUUUCUCACCAAAGUAAAGAUAAUCAUUGAUAUACUUCUUUUAGUACAACAAAAAUAACUGCCCUGUGCAUUAGACAUAAUAUAAGCAUUAAAAAUAAACUUUAUAAAGUUAAGGAUGAAAUUAAAUGAUGUACCUGAGGGCCAACAACCCCACCAGGACCAGGAGGACCAGUUUUUCCUUGAAAUCCCUGUGAAAUAAUCAUAGAAUGCUACGUUACCUAGGAAAAUAUAUAGAAGAGCCAAAUUCUUAUCUGAGCUGAUGAGGAGAAACAGAAAUUCCAUGUCAUAAGUUCUUCUCUUCAGAAAAUAAAAAUGAGAUAUUCUGGUUUUCUUGUGUACCUCAGAAGUGAGGGACUGAUUAAUCUUUCUUAGCAGUAGUAAAAUUUCCAUUCAGUUUUACAGAUCUCUCUAGGCGAAGUUGCUUAGGUGGUGCAGCUGAAUGACAGCUGAAAAUACAUUUUUACAUAUGUAUGUCAUGAAUCAUAAAGCCAGAUAUUUAAAUAUUUUUUAAAAAAUACUUUUUAAAGAAAGGCAUAGAAGGCGGAUUAAAUUGGACAGGCAUUAGAAGGAACUAGUUUGGGGUAUACUGCAGACUUUCUGCAUCAUAUGCUUUGAAUAUGAGGUUCACACAGAUGGCUACUGCAUUGUGCUCCUGUUUAGCUCUGCUGCCAUGGCUGCUCUGUCUCAAACCUCACAUGCCAUCAGCUAGCUCAUAAAAAAUGUCCAGUUCUGGGCUCCUCAGUUCAAGAAGGACAGGGAACUUGUAGAGAGUCCAGUGGAGGACCACAGAGAUUACUAGGGGCUUGGAGCAUUUCUCUUAUGAGGAAAGGCUGAGAGAACUGGAACUGUUCAGCCUGGAGAAGAGAAGAGUGAGAGGAGAUCUUAUCAAUGUUUAUAAAUAUGUAAUCAGUAGGAGUCAAGUUGAUGGGGCCAGGCUAUUUUUGGUGGUGCCCAGUGACAGGAGAAGGGGCAGAAACCGGAACAUAGGAAGUUCCAUACAAACAUGAGGAAAAACUUUGAAAGUUUCAGAGCCCUGAAACAAGCUGCCCAGAGAGGUUCUGGAGUCUCCUUCUCUGGAGAUAUUGAAAACCCAUCUGGACAUUUUCCUGUGCAACUACUUUAGGAAACCUGCUUCAGCAGGGGGAUCAGACAAGAUGAUUUCCAGAGGUUACUUCCAACCCUUAUGAUUCUGUGAUUCUGUGUGAUUACUGCUGUAUCACAGCCAGGGUUCUCUGCAUAACAGUCUGUAUCUUCCUCAUACUAUCCCCACCUGUGUAAAAACAAAGGUAUCAUUUGGCCCAUAUUUCUUAGAAAUUUCUCAGCAUGCCUCAAGGCACAGUCUCACUUACUAAAUAUGAGAUAUGAGUAUUAAUUUUUACUAUUUCUGUUGACUAGUAAAGCACAUUCUGAUGUUGCUAACUGAUCAGAGCAAGGAAUAAUCUCACUCUUAUUGUAUGGAAACAAAACAAAAAUUUCUCAUGUUUAACCUACUACACCAGUAGAUAACUACCUUCAUAUUAUCUCCCAGUCCAAGAUUCCUCUCCUUUUCUCUGUUGCUUCUAUUUUUCUAGUUUUGGUCACACUAUUCUGACUUCAAGAGGUUUACAACAGCAGCACAGUAAAGCUCAUUUACUUACAGUCUCACCCCGCUGUCCUGGAUGUCCAGGCAAGCCAUCUUUACCAGGUGGCCCCUGAAAUUGUAAAAUACAUAAAUAAAAUAAUUUCUUAGCCAUUCUUAAUACUGAAAUAAGUGUAUAGUUAGCUGCAGGAAUCUCCAAUGUCUUUAGUUUUAUUUUAGACUAGUCUUUAGUACAGUUUAUCUGCACAGAUUUUAGCUAUUGUUUUAACAAUACAUUUUCCUUGUGUCUUUCCUGAUGUGUAUUAGCAGUUCCUUGGAGGGUAACUGUUGGGUUGUCAAGCACAUGAAUUUUCAAAAUGGAUUUCAAUAAACUCAGAAAUUUUGGAAAUAUUUCUUUUCCAUUUUUCUUUGCCUAAUGGCUCAGUUAAAAAUAAAAUAAAAUAAAAUAAAAUAAAAUAAAAUAAAAUAAAAUAAAAUAAAAUAAAAUAAAAUAAAAUAAAAAACCACUACAAAUUAUGGGAGUAUUUGAUGAAUUUCCAAUUUUGGCAAUGGCAAUAAAAGUAACAAAUACAUGCAUGCAAAAACAAACAAACAAACAAACAAACAAAGCGAAGAAACAAAAAACAGGUGGUUUGAUACUUUUGUACUUAAUCCUGGUGAGCAGAAACACACUAGCAAAGCAGUAUGAUUAGUUCAGGCUGCAGCUUAAAUGUGCAACUACUACACAUUUCUGCUAGUAAUGAAUGUCUCCUUCCUCUUUGUUUUUUUCUCAGUGAAUCAAAUGUUAAAAGGAAAUACAUAUUACCUUAUUAAAAUUUUGCUUAAAUUCAGCUUGUCACCCAGACUUUGGCAUCAAGAUACUUGAGGAUUUCCAGCUUGGCAUGUUGUGCUGAAUGUCAUGUGUGCUGCACUGAUGAUGUCUGAAUUAUCACUUUGCAUAUGUGAGUUCUUGUCUUAGCCUUAAAAGUCCAUAAGUAUCAAGGAAAUUUGUAUAUUUGUAGUCUAGACAUAAACCGUCUCUUAAAAAAAAGUCUUAAAUAUUACCUUCAGAAUGUAUGAAAGUACAGAAACUGUAUGAAAAAUAAUAUUCUUGUUAUUGUACCUACUUAAUUUAGAAGAUACUCACUGGGGGUCCCUUUGGUCCAGGAAAUCCAACAGGUCCUUGAGGCCCUUGUGGUCCCUAGUAUAUAAGCAAGCAAACAGGCAAAGUUUUAUUCCAGCUGCCACGACAGUGGACUGAAGUUUGCUUCAAUUAUAAAAUAUAUAAACUCUCUAGAUAAUAUAUGGCCAAGCCUCAUCUAUGUUGUCAUAAAUACUGGUACAACAGCUCACACUAACAGAUUGAAAGCAAGACUACUUCUGUAGGAAUGCAAUUAGAAAAAAUAACAAUUAUGAAGUAUUUCUAUCUAAUCCCUGAAACAGUGGAUAAUAAAGUAGGAGUUAACUUAUUAACUCCUUAAUAAAGUAAGGAACAUUGUUUUCUAUGUUGCAUAAAGUAUGGGAAUUCAUUCAGUUUGGUGGUCUGUAUUAAUGGAAUAGAAUUUUCAUCUUUGGCAGUUUCUGCCAAAUAUAUUUCUGAAAUAUUACUCUGGUAAUAUUUCAAGCUACUUUUAUAGCAGUGCUAGUUUCCAAACAGAAUAAGCUUUCCAAGUUACCAGGGAGAAAGAAAAAUAUUCAUGCUUUCAUGAAAAGUAGUUGAGAUAGAUUAAAAAAAAAAAAAAAAAGUGCAAUGCAUGAAAAUUUUGUUUCUGUAGUUUUGUAUAUACGUAUAUAUGUAGGGAGAGAAAAUUUUCAUGGAGCAUUGUUUCACAAAUCUAGUGAAAGAUGAUGAUAUGAGUUAGCACACUGUGUUUUACACAUAUGCACAUACAUGUAUGUCCACAUAUAUCUAUGGACAUAGAUCUGUGUACUUACAUAAUUAUACAAAAUGCCAGCUUACUGUUUCUAAAAUUAUUACCAAGCAAAACAGAGGCCAACUCUUAAAAUUUAUUGCUGAUAUGUUCAAAGGGACUAUGUCAGCUUAUUAAAAGACUUUUCACUGUUUAGUUUUUAAUAUGCUAAGUCAAAGAUUAGCCACCUGAAAAACCUUAUUUAUUCUAUGCUGUUCCAGAGCCAAGCUAUGUAUACUAAUCAUACAGUGCAACCCUUACCCUGUUCUUGGUAUAAAAUGUGUGGUUUUCUAAAAUGUCAGAUGUCAAAAUAUGUUAGAAAUGUUGCUUUGAAGUUUGAAGCAAAGGAUCAUAAUCAGGAGGCCACAUCUCUCAAAUUAUGGUACCUUUUAGCUCCUUUGAUAAAGUACUAGCUACUUCUGAGUUCAUUAGAGUACAGAGCAUGACUGCCAGAGCAUGACAGCCUCCUGAAGUAGAUGAAGCAGUGCACAAAUGUAGCUGAAGAAGACGUCGCUUCUGCCCAACCUGGAGAUCUGUCCUUAAGUGAAUCUUAUACAGCAAUACUAAAUCCAAGUUAACUAAGAAGUGUAAAGCAAAGGAGGAAAUCUUUGUGAUGUUACUACACUGUCUUUCUCAUAAAUUACCACUCUAUUUUGACUCUCGCAUCUUGAGCCGUUUUAAUGAAAGAUUUCCAGUUUGUUCUUAUUGACAAAAUGUCUUGCAGAUUUCAAGCUGGUAUAAUGAUGGGUUAUGUGAGAAACAGCACUAGAAUACUAACAACAUGUUAUUAAAGUUACUUUUUAUUUUUGUCAUUGAAUUUCAUUUUAGCAGUAGCCAGACAGAACAGAUUGUUUAAUCUUCACAUGUCUUGUACCUGGAAUAGCCUCACUUGAGUAGAAAUGACAGUUUUAGUUCUUAGCUGAUAUUCACCCCUAUUGGGAAGCAAACAGAUACCACACAUUAAAUUACAUAAGUGAUAUCAUAUGUGGGUCUCGGUGAUAACUUCAUCUUUUUGGUCUAAUCAGUUAAUCUCCAGGGAUGCCUUCAUCUAAGAUGACCUGUUCACUAUGUUCAGUCCCCCUCCCAUUCCUCGUCCUUAUAACCUCCUGGAAUUAUCAGUAAACCCCUGAAUCUUUAGGCUCUGCUCUUCAGCUCCUGGUAGCCUGCCUCAGAUGUUCCUCCACAGGGUAAGGCAACACAGACUUCCUUUUUUGGACUAUGCAUAAUUCUGAUUUAUGUAGCAUACUACUUAACUCAUUCCUCCUUUGAAUCUCAGCUUCCUACCCGUCUGUCUCUUCCUUGACACAUCAUUUUUGUUUCACUUAAACUUACCACUUAUUCUUGCCACCAAUGUUCCACUUGAUACUUUGUCAUUUGCUUAAUAUACACACAGGUACAAAUCAAAUUUAAUAUUGUUUUUCUAUUUGCUGUUGUGUAAUGCAUAUAUAUUUUUUUCUAUUGAUAAGAGUAGUAAGUAGAAAAUUUUAUUUUAGCAUGCACGGUAGGAUUUCUCAAGGAUGCAGUUUGAAGUUUAUACAGUUUGAAGGAAAUUCUUAGUUGAUCAGAACUAAAAAAACAUCAGCUGUUUCAACAAAGAAUCUCCUAGGGAUGGCUUGUGUGAUUUGUAAAUCUCAUAAACAAGUGGCAUGCUACAGUAAAUAGGGCAUUCUUAAGACCAGAGACUGGUAAAGUGCAACUGUAAUUUGCAUAGAUAUAUCGCAAAGUGUAUAUGAAUUCUCUUUGUCUUAUUUAUAAAAAACUGUGUUUGAAGAAGCUUUCAGCUAACUUGAGCUUACCCACUCCUAAAUUUAUGAAAAGCAACAUCGUUAGAAUUGAAGUUUUGUUUUUUCUGGUUAGUCUGAUCAAAGAAAGGCAAAUAGAUGAGGGAGAACUAAAAAUAAAUUGAUCCUCCCACCACCAAACCUCACUUCUAUAUAUCAGGAAAGGAACCACACAUAUAGAUAUCUUUCACGCACCCUUUCACCUGGUGGGCCAGGCGGACCAUCAUUGCCUGAAGUACCCUAAAAAAGAAGAACAAUGUGUUCAAAGAUGAAACCUUCAUUUUCUUUAAAAGAGACAGCCUGCAGCUGAUUUGUAUAAUGUGGCUGAUAAUUACCUUUGGACCUGGUUUGCCUGUGGGACCUCUUGGGCCUCUUGAGCCUCUUGGACCCUGUCAAAUAAAAUUUAAAAUUGAAAAAAAAAAACAGAAUCACAGAAUCACCACAGUUUGAAAAUACCUCUAAGAUCACCCAGUCCAAUCAUCCACUUAUCACCAAUGUUUCCCACUAAACCAUGGCCCUCUGUACAACAUCUAAGCUUGGUAAUUGUUGAAUACUGUAACAAAUUCAAAUCAAAAUCAUUCUUCAUGCUAUGGUGAAGGCAAUUAAUAUAGAAAAACCUCUAUAUUGCAAAGCAAAAGUACAUACUGUUGGUCCUCGCUGUCCUCUGGGGCCUGGUUUGCCAUGUAAUCCCUGUGUAGAAAGUACAGAAGCAAUACAGAAUAACAUACAGUAUAGUAAUACUAGCCCUUAAUUUUUUUGCUUUAGUAUAUUUCCUAUGUAUAACCAGUAGAUUCCUUUCCUUAGGCUUGGUGUUAGGUUAGCAUUGCUGUGUAUUCUAAUGAAAGGAGGGUUAAAAUUCUGGACAGUAUUCUUCCAGUAGAAAAAGGAACUUGAACGGUACUUUUUUUGUUUUGUUUUGUUUUUAUAUUGAUCUUAUCUCACAUGUUAAAAUAAAAUUAUAUAUUAUUCUUACAAUGUUGUAUACUCUGUAGACUUCUUAGGGACAAUGACUGUCUUACUAGUGUACCACAUAUGAGUGUAUACCUUUAAGCAAGAUUAAUGAUAAUGCCUGCUUUACACACACACACAAAAAAAAAGCAGUUAUUCUUAUAUUAUUGGUGAGAAGCCUUACACUGAAGUAUACAUGCAGUUUGGUGGCGUUAAUUAUGACAUUAGUACCCUAGCUGAAUCAAAAGCUUUACAAAGACUUGAUAAUUGAUCAACAUAAUUAUACUUUAAAUCUGCUCUUUGAUGUGUUACUAUUUUACUUAUUUGUUUGAUUGUUUGUUUUUGAUCUGAUAUCCUGAUUAGCAGUCAUGUCUCAUUUAACUCAACAGGGAUGAAAAGAACAUUGCUUUGCUGCUUUCCUCUGUCCAUAACAACAUACUCGAGAUAAAAUAAUACAAGAACAAUCUAAAGCAUACAAAAGCAAUGUAAAUGCCAUUAGUUUUCUUCUAUUUCAUCUUAAAAUCAUGAAUUUCUGCUUCUCAUGCUACAAAUUAAAAUAGACUGUUAAGAACAAUAGCAAACAUUAUUUUAGUUUUACUUAAGUUGAUAGUCUCUAUGAAUUUCUAUCCAUUCUCUCACUUCUGCAAAUUUCGUCAGCCUUCUAGAAACAUAUUCAGCUAUGUUCUGAUGAGCUUUAGAGACAGCAAUACAGUUGCCUGUAUGUCAUUUUAAGUUUGAAGAAGGUGAACAAUGGAUUUUCCCUCAUGUGCUUCAAAGCAGCAAAAUCUGUAAUUUUGUAGUAUAUAUGUUAUACAUAUGUUAUAUAUAUAUAUAUGUUCAUUAUCUUGUUUGGUAUAUUUUACAUUUUCAAAGCUCAGACUAUAAAAAAGCCUGUGGUAAAUCUCAAUACUUAUGAAAUAGAAGUUGAAUUUCCUUGAGGGUAAACUGCAUCAUAGCAAGUCAGUGAAUGGGAUACAGGAAAAUAUAGUCUUUGCCAGAUCACUCGGCUAUACUGUCAAAUCAGAUGUUCAGCAAAGGGAGUAUUUUCCUCUCUUCUUCAAACAUAUAAUUCUGGUAGCAUAUUCAAUGAGAAAGUGUCUGAGUUCCUGUAUACUUAGGUUAACACCUUAAAGAAUGAGAACUAGUGACUCAGUAUGUCCUGUUUUACAUAACUGGUCAUCUCAAGUGUGAAAAGCCUGUUUUUAGAGUUCCUUGGAUAACAGCUUCAGUGAAUUCCUGUAGCGCAGAGUACCAACAGAUAACUGUCAUGCAAGCAAUAAUUAUCAUACCCUUGCACCUUUCUCUCCAUUGGCACCUGGAAAUCCUGGGAAACCAGUUGAGCCCUACAUAAAAAUCAAUGUAAAUAUCAGAAAUCAUCAAUUGAAAAAAACUGUACUAUAGCCAGCAUUUAAUUUAUAUAUAAAGCACACCUCUAAACUGAUGCACAUUUUACAUCAUGUUAAACUUGCAAGUGUGACAGCUCUAACAAAUAGCUGUAAAUUAACUUACCAUCCAUCUUAAGUCCAGAAUAAUUAAAAUAAAAAAUAAAAAAAAAACCAUGUAUGGAAGGAACAUUAUUUUUCAUCUUAGACAUUAUUCACUAAAUCUACACCAGAAUCAUUAACAGCCCACUAGAAAUAACUGCAAUUGUAUCAUAACAAAGUGAAACAAAGCCUUGUCCCUUGCAGUAAAAUAACUAUUUUAUAAAAUAACUGCAUUAAAGUAAUUAUAAGUGUUGCCACUUUUCAGCAGUGGUUAUCCUACUAAGCUGAAAAUGACCUCCGGUGGUUUACUCACUGUAAACUGACCAGUGGAAAGUUUCAUUUAAUUGAUGCAAUUUGUUCAUGUGGUUAUUAGGCUUGUCUAGUAAGCAGAAUUUAUGUGGAGAUUAUCUGACUGGGUUCUAUGCAUGGAAACUGCUUCCAGGAGCCAUUCCUGCUUCUCCUUUUUCUCUGAUUUCUUCCUGCUUACUGCCUACCAGAUCUAACAGGGCUAUUUUCUUCUUGAUUU